UACGUAGGGUGCAAGCGUUACUCGGAAUUACUGGGCGUAAAGCGUGCGUAGGCGGUUUUUUAAGUCAGAUGUGAAAUCCCCGGGCUUAACCUGGGAACUGCGUUUGAAACUGGAAGGCUAGAGUGUGGCAGAGGGGGGUGGAAUUCCACGUGUAGCAGUGAAAUGCGUAGAUAUGUGGAGGAACACCGAUGGCGAAGGCAGCCCCCUGGGCUAACACUGACGCUCAUGCACGAAAGCGUGGGGAGCAAACAGG
rnacentral:rRNA from 1 species